rnacentral:rRNA from 1 species
CCCUUAGAUGUUCGGGGCCGCACGCGCGCUACACUGAAGGAAUCAGCACGUCUUUCUCCUUGUCCGAAAGGACUGGGUAACCCGCUGAACCUCCUUCGUGCUAGGGAUUGGGGCUUGUAAUUCUUCCCCAUGAACGAGGAAUUCCCAGUAAGCGCGAGUCAUAAGCUCGCGUUGAUUACGUCCCUGCCCUUUGUACACACCGCCCGUCGCUCCUACCGAUUGAGUGGUCCGGUGAGGCUUUGGGAUCUGAGCGGAAAGAGCGUUUCGCUGUUUCUGCUCGGAAAACUCAGUCGAACCUUAUCAUUUAGAGGAAGGAGAAGUCGUAACA